CAACGCGCCGCCGCCGCCGCCCGUUGGCGCCUCAACCCGUGCGCCCGCCACCCGCCGACUCCCCGCGGUUCCCGCUGGCAAAGUUGCUCGGCCUCUUCAGGAGGGCGCCGCACCGCCCCUCAGGCCGCCGCGCGGGAAGGCCCAGCCGGCCGCCCCGCUUUUUUACCUGACGGAGUUUUCGCGCGCGCGCGCACUCGCUCGCUCGCUCUCCCCUCUCGCUCGCUCGUUUUCUUUCUUUCCUUUUUUUGCGCUCGCCCGCGCGAGGCGCCUUUUCCGCUCGCGCCGCCCGCGCCCGCCUGCUCGCGCCCUCCUUCCUGCUGGGCCCGGCAGAGCGGGGCGGCCGGCAGCUCUCCCCGCCCCCCUGCACCCGCGCUCCGGCGGAGGCGGCGGCGCCGCUCCGCGCUCCGACUCAUUCCAAUAUGGCACGGACGCAGGGCGCAUGCGCCCGCACUCCCCCAACCCCCUCCCUACCCCCAGCCCCACGGUCCUCCCGGCAACCCGCGCCCCUCGCCUAGCGCGUGUGGCACUCACGGCUCAGCCUCCCCGCGGCCACCAGGGCUUGGAGCUGCACGGGAGAGGAGGCGUCGGUGGGCCCAGGUCCAUUGCGCGCCGCGUCCCCAGUCGGCACCUCGCCGAGGACGCCCGCGAGGCGGGGGCGGCGCGGCGUGGGCCUCUGAUCCCCGACGGCGCCGUGGACUGCGUGCGGUUGAGAGACGCGCUCUCGGGCUCCGGAGGCGUGCCCUGGCCCUGCAUGGAUUUUGGAGAGAAAGACCUCACCUUGGCUUCUGGACCGAGCGGUUCAGGACCCGGCGAAGUCCCUGAUCCGUCCAUCCCCGGCGAAGCGCGCCACUGUAGCCCGCACGUGACCACCUCGAGCAAGAUGGCAUUAACAGACAGGCAGCGCCUCGGCAGGUCCCUGAUGGGUACGUGCCGCUGCCGAGGGGGCUGCGCUCGCCGACCCGGCCACUUCGGGAAUCCGCAAGUUAUUUGAGACUUAGCAGGGCACUCUGGUGCCCAGGUCUACCAAAUCCGACUCGAGGACCUCGGCAUACCUGAUGUGCUCCGGAGGCGCUUUGUAAACCGUUUCUCCUGCGGCGAAGAGGGUACAGGGUGAACUAAGAUCUCCGGGAGAAUGAGCAGCUCAAAAAAGCUGUGAAUCAACCUCGAAUCCCGAGGUGCCCACGCGCAGUUAGAUUCGGCGACUCAUCCCUUCCUCUGAAAGCGCAGGUGUCAGUAGGAUGCACACACACCUGCUCCAGAAAGUUCCCUCAGAAGGGAGUCCCAGCGCUAAUGGGACCCGGGAGUGCCAAUGAGAUCAGACUCUCCAGCCCUAGAUGGUGUCAAAGCCCCUGCCUUUGAGAGAAGAGGAGGUGCCCACCCAGACACGCACCCGCCACACAAUAUCUUGGGAUCUUAACACUAGGCAUCUUUCUCUGUUUUGGCAACCUUGGGAAAUACCCACAUUACAAACAACAGAUGAUUUUUUUUUUUGUAAGUACCACGGAAAAAACAAGGUAACAGGAAAAAGGAAUGUAAAAAGAAUAUCCAUUGCCACACAAUUUGACUUCCCAAACAAAACCUUCUACAUAGAUACUUUUACAUGCUUGCAAGCACACGUUUUCUCUUAUUUUCUACUUUGACUAACAUGUUGUGUUUGCAUGAUCAUUUUUAAGGUAUGCGGUUCCUACUUUUUUGUAUUUUAUUUCGUUGCAGUUAUCUGCUAACAGAUCCUUGAGUUCUACACGUGGGAUUAAUUUUUAGGAGUGGAAGUAUCUUCAGGUGGAAAGCUGUGCAUGGCCCUAUAUUGCCCCAAUUGUUCUUUCAUCAGCCAGGAACAGCAUCAGGAAUCUAAUGCACAUUUCUAAACACCGAGUGACAUCUUUUCUCCCCUGCAUUAAUAAUGCCUACACUAAUAAUCUUGAACGAUCAAGACUACCUUAUCUGGCCUUUCUUGGAUGACUAAACACUCAAAAUUUCCCCAUUUGCGAUCUGUAUUUCCCCUUCUGUGAAUGACCUGUUGUUCAUAUCCAUUGUCUUGAGGAGUUGAAUCUCUUCUAACUUUAAACAAGUCUUUUUUUUUAUGUUAUUGAUGCAAAUAUUGCCCAGCCUGAUGUUCUUUUUUGUUUUAGUUUACAGUUCAUUUGUCAUUCUAGUUUGUUUUUGUUUUUUUUGUUUGAAUGCUACCAAAGUGAGUUUUCAUGUACCCAUCUGCUAGCUUGUAUAAUUUCUUAAUAAUAAUUUCUUAUUAUUUUAUAGUCACCUAUAUAACUUUAUUUUUUUGCUAUAUUUGGGAGUAAAAUGUAGAUUUAAUUCCUCUCCUCUGUCACAAUGGUUAUUGUUUAUGCAGUCACCAUUUAUUAAAUAAUUCUCACCUGUUCUUUGCUUAGCAAAACCUACUUUUUUGCUAUGCUUUGCUUUCAGCUUGUGUAUUUCAGAAUCCUCCAUUUCCCCCGUAGACGUUGGUUUCAGCAAACACCAUAUAGUUAUAAAUAUUGGUUUUUUGAAAUAGCUUUCACAUCUGACAAGGGUCAAUUCCCACUAUGAGAUUUUUUCCUAAUAGCACUGGUUUACAUGUCCAUACACAUUCUGGGAUAAUUGUAUCAGGAAAGGUUAAGAGCAUUGUUUUCAAGGGCUAGAGAAAUGGCUCAGCAGUUAACAGUAUAUAUUGUCCUUGCCGGAGACCUAAAGUUCAGUUCCCAGCACCCACAUGGAGUUCACAGCUGCCUGUACUUGAGCUACAAGUGAUCCAGUACAUCACGCACCAGCUGGUGCCUACAAAAGUAAAAUAAAUCUAAAGAGAAAACAGAUCAUGGGCUUUGAGGAUAAAUGAGGUUCAACACUGAGCAGCCCUGUGACCUUGGCAAGUUACUGUUCCAGGCCUUACAGUUUGGGUCUGUAAAUGGGGAUCAGGAUAACACCACCUCACAAGCUCGAUGGCUGGCACUCAAUGCCAGAAUAGAGACUCAAAAGCCACCUGCCUAUGAUCCAUCUACGCACUGAGCCCUGGACAUUCUCCAAUACAACUCUCAAGAGCUACAGCAAACAGAAAGCCUGCUCCCCACCCUCCCCCCUGCAUGCCUCUCUGGUCACCUUCUCCCAGAUAGGCCCUUCUGUGGUCACAGUGAAGUGAGCUCAAGACCUCCCAAGAGGCCAUCCCCAUCUUCAGCUGUUUGUCCUUAGUUCCCUAGAGGCCUUCCUUGGUGGUUACUAGCCAGGAAGUCCCAGGUACUCUGUGAGAGGGCAGGAAAUGAGACA
ensembl:lncRNA